UGGUCUACUCGUGUGGGCCCACACAGCCCAAAUCAGUCUAGUCCGUGUGUCGCACACGGCCGCCUAGCCAUCACACGACCGUGUCAUGUGCGCACGGCCUGGCCUCGUCUAACACUCGCCCGUAUCCAUCACACGGCCUACCACACAAGAGACCACACGCCCAUGUGGCGUCAACAGAAUGCUUUUUUAGCUUUUUUUCGUAUCUCGUUUUCUGCGUUUUGGGUACACACCUGUGUCGUUUUUU
rnacentral:lncRNA from 1 species